rfam:Aedes albopictus isolate Foshan contig70405, whole genome shotgun sequence.
GGGUCGGUAGCUAAGUCGGUAAAGCACUUGUGUGGCAUAUAAGGGUCGUGAGUUAAAAUCUCACUUGAGCUG